UUGCCCGAGAGAGCGCGAGACAGAGCGGCAAGGGCCCGCUUCUUCGUCACCCACUUAAACCAGCGAUUCCGGAAGCUGCUCUCGAUGGUAGGGGCGCACGGAAUGCUGGGGCAGUGGAGGACUCGGGCUCUGGGACUGUUCGCGAGUUGUCCUGGUUCGCCUCGUGGCGGGCGCGGCUGCGGCUGUGGUUAGUGUGGGAUCCUGGCAGCUCUGCCGGCGGUUGCCUGGGACUAGUACGGACGCUCGCCUUGCCCUGCGCCUCGGGCAUCCCCGGGGCAAGUCGGCCCGAGUAGGGUCAAGUUGAAAGGAAAUCUUAGCUCCGGAGUGAACUGAGAUGGAUGUGCCUGCCCUAUGGAGAGGCGAAGCACGCAAGAGGGAGGGGCGUACUCUGCUGUGUAAGUCUGGAGUAAGAAGAAAAGAGGACCUGGGACUAAGCCUUGCGGAAUUUUAACAUUUAAUGGAUGGGUUGUGGAGGAUGAAUUUGCAAAGGGGCCUGAAGAGGCAGCCCGAAAGGGAGGAAGAGAUCGGGAGGCAUUCAUUGGAGAAGCCAAGGAGGAAAUAAUUUUGCCUGGUGGAAGAUACAAAAAGGAAUAAGACCCAUAUUUGAACCCUCAAGAAAGUUUAGCAUAUGUUUUCAAGCCUGAGAAUGACCCUGGGGGUGAAAUCUGAAGAACACAAAACGGAAACAUGGAAUGAAGCUGGGCCCUUGAUUAUGUUUAUUCAGUCACUGGAAUGGAAAACCCUGAAGUCACUCUGGGUGCAGUGUUGGUUCAGUGUUAGAAUUCUCGCCUUCCAUGUGGAAGACCUGGGUUUGAUUCCUGGCAGUUGACCUAAUGCACAGCCACCACCAGUCUGUCAGUGGAGAUUUGCAUGUUGCUGAACAGGUUUCGGUGGCCCUUCCAGACUGAGAUGGACUAGGAGGAAAGGUCCGGCGAUCUACUUCUGAAAAUUAGCCCAUGAAAACCCUAUGGACCAAAAUGGUCUGAUCUGCAACCAAUCAUGGGGCGGGUGCAGAACCUGGCAGCGUUUCUUUUUGUCGUACAUGGAGUUGCCAUGAGUCAGGGAUCACUCAAACGGGGCCAACAACAGCAGCAGCAACAGCAGAGUCACUCUUAUCUCCAAGCGUGUAAGAUAUUAAAUCCCUGUAUUGUUAAAAACAGAUUUCUGACACAUGAAAACAAAAUCAUCCUGAUACAAACACUAGAAUGUCGAAAACUUAGUACUUAGAUGUCAGCUCCCUUUCUAAUUUCCACAGGGCUCCCAGGUCAUUUAUUCAGUUUCUUUAGAACCCUCUAUUUUACGCUUUAUUUUUUCCUGGAUGGUGGGGGAAAUGCCUAGCUGCCAGGCAUUAUGCUUGCAAGGGUAGUCUUGGUGACUGAAUUCUCAAUGUAGACUUUAAAUUAAUUCCUCUGCUUUUAGCCCCGGCUCUACUCUCUGACGUACUAAAUGUUUUUAAGUCCUGAAUUUCUCUGGGGUUUUGCAGGGCUGACUGGAUCCCUCCUCAACAGCAUCUUAUUCUAUGUGAAUUCAAGGCUGGGCUGGUUCACCCUAUUUCAUGAGGCCCCCACUCCUGCAUCCACUUCCACUCAGAAAAAAAAAUUAUAUCCCGUGUGCCCUUAAGUGUGUUGCUGUUGGUUGAUAUAUUUGUUUAUUUCUCUAUUCUCAUUUUAUAAAACCCUGGAAGCAACAAGAGAAAAAUCACACAUACUUCCAGGUGAUCCAGAAACUCUAACUUUCCAUUUCCAGUGACUGAAGAUGACAGAGAUAAAGGGCAUGAAUGGAAUCAACUGGCCUCUAGGUUCUGAAUGGAACACUGGUAUAAAGCUGUUCUGUAGUCAGAACAGACAGACCUCUAAAAUUCUUUGGGUCUGAAAAUUAGCCGGCAGGAUUUGGCGAGACGGGAGGUAAGUACUUUUUAAGGCUCUCACAUAUUUUCAGGACCUGACCUCUAGCAGUUGACAUCUGUAGGUUGGUAUGGGUAGAAGUUGGAACUGGCUGAGGCUCUUAGGUAUCCUCCCUUCCUUUUUUUAAAUUAUAAUUUACAUAUCAUGAAGUUAACUAUUUUAAAGUCUACAAUUCUAUGGUUAUUAGUAUAUUACAAGGCUGUACAGCCAUCACCACUAUCAAAUUCCAGAACAUUUCAUCAAGCCAAAUAGAAGCCCCAGACUCAUUAGCAGUCACUCCUUAUUUCUCUCUUCUCCUAGCUCUUAAUAACCCCUAAUCUACUUUCUGUUUCUAUGGAUUUGCUUAUUAUAGACAAUUCAUAUAGAUAGACUCACAGUAUAUAGCCUUAUGCAUCUGAUUUCUGUCACUUGGCAUAAUGUUUUCAAGCGUCAUCUGUGUUGUAGCAUGUGUAGUAUUUCAUUCCUUUUUAUGACUGAAUAACAUCCCAUUGUAUGAAUAUGCCACAUUUUGUUUAUUAAUUCAUCAGUUUAAUGGCCGUUAGGGUUUUUUCCACAUUUUAGCUAUUGUGAAUAAUGCUGCUAUGAACAUCUCUGUAUAAAUAUUUGUGUGAACGUAUGUUUUCAAAGACAGUCUCAAUAUCUCUACAUCCUCACCAAUACUUGUUAUUGUUCAUUUCUGAUUAUAGACACCCUGAUGGGUAUGAAGUGGUAUCUCAUUGUGUUUUUGAUUUGCAGCUGGCUAUUUGAAUUUUUUCUGGGGGGGGGGAGAAAUGUUCAUUCAAAUCCUUUACCUAUUUUUUGUUAUCUUUUUAUUGUUGAAUUUGUGUGAUUUCUUUGUUUAUUCUGGAUAAGAAAACAAAACAAACCCACCUCCAUCUAGUCAAUUCUGACUCAUAGCAACCCUAUAGGACAAAAUAGAACUCCCCUUAGUAUCUCCAAGGCUGCGAUCUUUACGGAAUUAGACUGCCACACCUUUCUCCCUUGGAGCGGCUGCUGGGUUUGAACUGCCAACCUUUUGGUUAGCAACUGAGCGCUUUAACCACUGCACCACCAGGGCUCCUUCAUAUUCUGGUUACUAGACCCUUAUUAUAUAUGUGAUCUGCAAAUAUUUUCUCCCAUUCUGUGGGUUGUCUUUUCAUUUUUUUUUUUUUUCUUUUAUUGUGCUUUAAGUGAAAGUUUACAAUUCAGGUCAGUUUCACAUACAAAAACUUAAUACACCCAUUGUUAUGUGACCCUAGUUGCUCGCCCUACAAUGUGACAGCACAUUCCUCCUCUCCACCCUGUGUUUCCCGUGUCCAUUCAGCCAGUUGCUGUCCUCUGCUGCCUUCUCAUCUCACUUCCAGACAGGAGCUGCACAUUUAGUCUUAUGUAUCUACUUGAGCCAAGAAGCACACUCUUCACUGGUAUCUGUCUUUUCAUUUUUUUUUAAUAUUUUAUUGUGGUAAAAUAAACAUAAUUUGCCAUUUCAAGCAUUUUUAAGUACAUUAACUACAUUCACAACGUUGUGCAACCUUCACCACCAUUUAUUUCCAAGAUUUGUACAUCACCCAAAACAGAAAUUCUGUAACCAAUAAGCAAUAACUUCCCAUCCCCACACCCCCUACCCCUGGUUGCCUCUGCUCUACUUUUUAUCUGUAUAAAUUUGCCUAUUCUCAAUAUUUCAUAUGAGUAGAGUCAUACAAUAUUUGUCCUUUUGUGCCUGGCAUAUUUCACUUAGCAUAGUGUUUUCAAGUUCAUCCAUGUUGUAGCAUUUUCAGAACUUCAUUCCUUCUUAUAGUUGAAUAAUAUUCCAUUGAAUGAAUAUACCACAUUUUGUGUAUCUAUUCCUCUGUUGAUGGAUAUCUGAUGUAUUAUAUUAGCUUCCUAAAGCUGUUGUAACAAAAUACCACAAACUGGUUGGUAUUCAAGGACAGAAAUUUAUUGUCUCACAGUUCUGGAGCCUGGGAUUUUGGGAUCUGGGUGUUGGCCUUGUUGAUUGCUUCUGAGGUCUUUAAGAGAUAAGCAGUUCCAUGACUACUAGUUUUUGGUGGCUCUUGGCAAUCUUUGGAAUUCCUUGGCUGGUAGGCACAUCUUUACAUGGUCAUCUUUUCUCUGUCUGUCUCUGUAUAUCUUCUCUUUCAUAAGGACAUCAGUCAUAUAGGAUUAGGACCUACCCUACUCUAGUGUAACCUCAUGUUAACUAAAACAUCUUCAAAGACCGUAUUUUCACACAGGUUCACAUUAACAAGUACAGGGGUUACCACUUCAACAUACCAUAUUUUAAUGCAGGUAAAUGUGUCUUCUACACUGUCUGCCAACCAUGCCCUCACCCCAUGAGGUAUUUUCAUAAGCACACAGUGCUAAUUUCUUUUUUUUUUAUUUUUAUUGUGCUUUAAGUGAAAGUUUACAAAUCAAGUUAGUCUCAUACAAAAAUUUAUAUACACCUUGCUGUGUACUCCUAAUUGCUCUCCCCCAAUGAGACAGCCCGCUCCUUCCCUCUACUCUCUCUUUUCGUGUCUGUUCCGCCAGCUUCUGACCCCCUCUGCCCUCUCAUCUCCCCUCCAGAUAGGAGAUGCCAACAUAGUCUCAAGUGUCUACUUGAUCCAAGAAGCUCAUUCUUCACCAGCAUCUUUUUCUAUCCCAUUGUCCAGUCCAAUCUCUGUCUGAAGAGUUGGCUUUGGGAAUGGUUCCUGUCUUCGGCUAACAGAAGGUCUGGGGGCCAUGAUCACUGGGGUCCUUCUAGUCUCAGUCAGACCAUUAAGCCUGGUCUUUUUAUGAGAAUUUGAGGUCUGCAUCCCACUGCUCUCUUGCUCCCUCAGGGCUUCUCUGCUGUGUUUGCUGUCAGGGCAGUCAUCAGUUGUAGCCGGGCACCACUUAGUUCUUCUGGUCUCAGGCUGAUGUCGUCUCUGGUUUAUGUGGCCCUUUCUGUCUCUUGGGCUCAUAAUUACCUUGUGUCCUUGGUGUUCUUCAUUCUCCUUUGCUCCAGGUGGGUUGAGACCUAUUGAUGCAUCUUAGAUGGCCAGUUGCUAACAAAUCUAAUUUUUUUUACAACGUGUAAAAAAAAAUUGGCAUAGAGGCACUUAUGAAAAUACUUUUGUGGGGAGGGCACCGUCGGCAGACGAAUGUAGAAGGCGUGCCUUAUUUGUGUAACGUUUCAGUAUCUUUUCUUGGGGAACACAACCCAGGCCAUAACAUUUGGGUUACACUUUUGUGUUUUGUAUUAUUUCAAGCCAUAAUACUUUUGGCUACUGUGAAUAAUGCCACUAUGAACAUUGGUGUACAAGUAUAUCUGUUUGAAUCCCUGCUUUCAAUUCUUUUGGCUAUUGUGGGGUUUUCAUUAACUUCACCCAAAGAAUUUGGCUUUUACCAUCUGUUCUUGAGACAUAAGCUAUAAAAAAAACUUGGAAUUUUUGUGUCUUCAAUAAGGACUCCAGACCACACCUAACAGGUUAGGUGAGGUAAUGAGGUGACUCUGGGAUGGGGAUUGGCCGGGCCAGAAAGACCCACCACAUAAUACCUCACGAUCAUCUUGUGAUACUGACCGACCUCAGGUGAAAGGAGCUGGAGUUUGCAUUAUGUAAUGAGACCAACCCCCAAAAAACUCUGGACAUGGAAGCUUCAUAGGCUUCCUGGUUGUGAAAGGCAUCCAGGCAUAUGAGAGGGUAUCAUGUCCCUUUUUGGGGCAUGGAAGCUUUGUGUUGGGAGCCCUCCUAGUCCUCACCUUAUGUAUCUCUUCAUUUGUAUCUUUUUUUCUUAAAAUAAAACUGUAAUCAUAAGCAUAGCACUUUUCUUGAGCUCUGUGAGUUAUUGCAGCAAAUUGUUGAACCCGAAGAAAUAGUGAGAGCCAGUGGGCCAGAAGUUAGGGGACUGGGGACCCCUGAGUUUAUAGCUGGUACCCUUAGGGGCAGAGGGAACCCUCAAAUUUAUAACCAGCAGAUCAGAAGUGAGGGAGGCCAGGAGGUGCCCCGAGCUUGCGGCUAACAUCCUGAAGGGGUAAUUGUAAAACCCCAAACUUGUAGCGAGCCUGUCAGAGGUAUGGGUGUUAUGGGGCACCCAAGCUUGUAGUUGACUUCUGAAGUCUUAGGCCUACUUGGCAAUCUGGAGGACUGUGUCCUUUCACUUGUGGGCUCUCACCUAGCUCUGGGUGGUUAGGGUUAGAGGAUGAAGUGCUGCAUGGGCAGCUGGUACCAGAACUGAAGAGAGAAGUGAAAAAGUGAUUUAGGAUUAGUUUUAUGCUGAUUAUUAUCCUCAUAGGAGUAUACCUAGGUCUCUGACAUAGUGGUUAAGAGCUACGGCUACUAACCAAAAGGAUGGCUGUUCAGAUCCACCAGGCGCUCCUUGGAAACCCUACGGGGCAGUUCUACUCUGUCCUCUAGGGUAGCUAUGAGUCAGAAUUGACAGCAGUGGGUACGAGGUGGCAAAAACGGUUUGCACUCAACUGCUUACCUAAAGGUUGGCACUUGGAACUUACCCAGCAGUACCAUGGCCUGGCAAUCUGCUUCUGUGAAGAUUGAGCCCAAAAAACCCUAUGGAACACUUCUGAGGAGUCGAAUUACUGGGUAAUAUGAUAAUUCUGUGUUUAACAUUUUGAGGAACUGCCAAAAUGUUUUCCACACUGGCUGUACCAUUUUACAUUUCCUUCAGCAAUGCAUGAGGAUUUCAGUUUCUCUGCAUCUUCAUCAAUACUUGUUAUUUUCUAAUUUUUUUGUAAUAGCCAUACUAGUAGGUAUGAGUCGAAAUCCACUCAAUGGCAAUGGGUUUGUUUUUUUAGGUUUAGUGAGUAUGAAGAGGUAUCUUAUUGAUGUUUUGAUUUGAGUUUCCCUAAUGACUAAUGGGAGCCCUUGUGGCACGGUGGUUAACAGAUUGGCUGCUAACCAAAAGGUCAGCAGUUCAAAUCCACCAGCUGCUCCUUGGAAACCUAUGGGGCAAUUCUACUCUGUCUUACAGACUUGCAGUGAGUCGGAAUCAGCUCAGUGACAGUGGGUUUGGUUUUUUUGUUUAAUGACUAAUAAUGUUGAACACCUUUGCAUGUGCUUAUUGGCCAUUUGUAUGUCUUCUUUGGAGAAAUGUCUGUUCAAGUUCUUUGCCCAUAUUUUAAGCGGGUUGUCUUUUUAUUGUUCAGUUGUAGUAAUUCUUUAUAUAUUCUGGAUAUUAAAUCCUUAUGUGAUAUACGAUUUUCAAAUAUUUUCUCUCAUUCUGUAAGUUGUCUUUUUUAUUUUAUUGAUAAUGUCCUUUGAUGCACAAAAGUUAUUAAUUUUGGUGAAGUCCAAUAUAUUUUUUCUUUUGUUGCUCAUCCUUUUGGUGUCAUGUCUAUAAAAUCAUUGCCUAAUACAAGGUCAUGAAGAUUUUCCCUUAUGUUUUUUUCUAAGAAUUUUAUAAUUUUAGCUCUUAUAUUGUGGCCACUGAUCCAUUUUGAGUUAAUUUUUGUUUAUAGUGUGAAGUAGAGGUCCAAUUUCAUUCUUAUGAAUGUGGAUAUCCAGCUGUCCCCGUACCAAUUGUUGAAAAGACUAUUCUUUCUGUGUUGAAUUGUCUGGCACCCUUGUCAAAAAUUAAUUGACUAUAAAUGUGACGGUUUAUUCCAUUGAUCUUCAUGUCUGUCCUUACUCCAGUAACACACAGUCUUGAUUAUUGUAACUUUGUAGCAGCUUUUGAAAUUAGUGAAUGAAUAUGAG